GUGCCAGCAGCCGCGGUAAUACGUAGGGUGCGAGCGUUAAUCGGAAUUACUGGGCGUAAAGCGUGCGCAGGCGGCGCGUUAAGACAGGUGUGAAAUCCCCGGGCUUAACCUGGGAAUUGCGCUUGUGACUGGCGUGCUCGAGUGCGGCAGAGGGGGGUGGAAUUCCACGUGUAGCAGUGAAAUGCGUAGAGAUGUGGAGGAACACCGAUGGCGAAGGCAGCCCCCUGGGCCGACACUGACGCUCAUGCACGAAAGCGUGGGGAGCAAACAGGAUUAGAUACCCUUGUAGUCC
rnacentral:rRNA from 1 species